rnacentral:rRNA from 1 species
CGUGUAGGCGGGGACAUAAGUCAGAUGUGAAAUACCGAGGCUUAACUUCGGGGCUGCAUCUGAAACUAUGUUUCUUGAGUGUCGGAGAGGAAAGUGGAAUUCCCAGUGUAGCGGUGAAAUGCGUAGAUAUUGGGAGGAACACCAGUGGCGAAGGCGACUUUCUGGACGAUAACUGACGCUGAGGCGCGAAAGCGUGGGGAGCAAACAGGAUUAGAUACCCUGGUAGUCCACGCUGUAAACGAUGGAUACUAGGUGUAGGAGGUAUCGACCCCUUCUGUGCCGGAGUUAACACAAUAAGUAUCCCACCUGGGGAGUACGGCCGCAAGGUUGAA